rnacentral:sRNA from 1 species
AUGGCUGUCGUCAGCUCGUGUCGUGAGAUGUUGGGUUAAGUCCCGCAACGAGCGCAACCCUUGUCCUAUGUUGCCAGCGGGUAAUGCCGGGGACUCGUAGGAGACUGCCGGGGUCAACUCGGAGGAAGGUGGGGAUGACGUCAAGUCAUCAUGCCCCUUACGUCCAGGGCUGCACACAUGCUACAAUGGCCGAUACAAAGGGCUGCUAUCCCGCGAGGGUGAGCGAAUCCCAAAAAGUCGGUCUCAGUUCGGAUCGCAGUCUGCAACUCGACUGCGUGAAGUCGGAGUCGCUAGUAAUCCCGGAUCAGCAACGCCGGGGUGAAUACGUUCCCGGGCCUUGUACACACCGCCCGUCACACCACGAAAGUCGGUAACACCCGAAGCCAGUGGCCCAACCGCAAGGAGGGAGCUGUCGAAGGUGGGAUCGGUGAUUGGGGUGAAGUCGUAACAAGGUAGCCGUACCGGAAGGUGCGGCUGGAUCACCUCCUUUCUAAGGAGUAUUUGCUGGACAACCAACGUCCAGCCACUCCCAGUUGAUCACUAGCUUUGGUUCCUCUCUUAACUGUUUUCUUCGCAGGACUUGUCCUCAGUUCACAGUGACGGGAUGAACUCGAAGACCUCUGUUCCGUUUACAAGGAGCAUCAGCUCCUUGUUCCCAAAUCAAUAAGACGAAGCCGACCGCUGUUACAUCAACAGCAGAGUCGGCCUCUCGUCAUGUCCAGUUGCUUUGUCAGCUGGUUCUGAUCUUUGAGAAUUCCAUAGCGAGCACGAGCAUCUUUGUUCUCCAAGCUACAAAGAGCCAACGGUGGAUGCCUUGGCGCCUGAUGCCGAUGAAGGACGUGGGUGGCUGCGAUAAGCCACGGGGAGCUGCCUACCAAGCUUUGAUCCGUGGAUGUCCGAAUGGGGAAACCCGG